rnacentral:rRNA from 1 species
UACGAAGGGGGCUAGCGUUGCUCGGAAUCACUGGGCGUAAAGGGCGCGUAGGCGGAUCUUUUAAGUCGGGGGUGAAAGCCCAGGGCUCAAUCCUGGAAUUGCCUUCGAUACUGAAGAUCUCGAGACCGGAAGAGGUAAGUGGAACUGCGAGUGUAGAGGUGAAAUUCGUAGAUAUUCGCAAGAACACCAGUGGCGAAAGCGACUUCCUGGACCAAUACUGACGCUCAUGUGCGAAAGCGUGGGGAGCAAACAGG